GUCUACGGCCAUACCACCCUGAACGCGCCCAAUCUCAUCUGAUCUCAGAAGCUAAGCAGGGUCGGGCCUGAUUAGUACUUGGAUGGGAGGCAACCAAAUAUUUUUAAGGAACUGAACAUG
rnacentral:rRNA from 1 species